GACGGAAGGUGCAAGCGUUGCUCGGAAUCACUGGGCGUAAAGGGUGCGUAGGCGGCCGUGCAAGUCUGGCGUGAAAGCCCCGGGCUCAGCCCGGGAAGUGCGCUCGAAACUGCGCGGCUCGAGUGCCGGAGGGGAGAGUGGAAUUCCUGGUGUAGCGGUGAAAUGCGUAGAUAUCAUUUGGAACGCCAAUGGUGAAAACAGGUAGCUGGGGCUGUGCUGACACUGAGACACGAAAGCCAGGGGAGCAAACGGG
rnacentral:rRNA from 1 species